rnacentral:rRNA from 1 species
UACGUAGGGUGCAAGCGUUGUCCGGAAUUACUGGGCGUAAAGAGUUCGUAGGCGGUUUGUCGCGUCGAUUGUGAAAACUCACAGCUCAACUGUGAGCCUGCAGGCGAUACGGGCAGACUUGAGUACUGCAGGGGAGACUGGAAUUCCUGGUGUAGCGGUGAAAUGCGCAGAUAUCAGGAGGAACACCGGUGGCGAAGGCGGGUCUCUGGGCAGUAACUGACGCUGAGGAACGAAAGCGUGGGUAGCAAACAGG